UACGGAGGGUGCGAGCGUUGUCCGGAAUCACUGGGCGUAAAGGGCGCGUAGGCGGUUUGGCAAGUCCGUGGUGAAAGCUCGUGGCUCAACUGCGAGUCGGCCAAGGAUACUGUUGAACUGGAGCACUGUAGAGGCAGGUGGAAUUCCGGGUGUAGCGGUGGAAUGCGUAGAGAUCCGGAAGAACACCGGUGGCGAAGGCGGCCUGCUGGGCAGUAGCUGACGCUGAGGCGCGACAGCGUGGGGAG
rnacentral:rRNA from 1 species